UGUCAUCUUGCCUUCUCACUAGUAGCCAUGUUUUCUUCACCACUCACCCUCCAUUCAUUUUCCUUAGGUAAAAAAACAAUUAUUAUAUUUGUUUUCUUUAUUUUAAUUUUCCUAAAAAGUUAAUAGUAUUGAAUGCUUCCUGCAGAUAACUUACAAUCCUCUCUGAAGACUUCUAAGAUAUUAGAACACUUAAAAGAAGACAGCUCUGAAGCUUCAAGUCAAGAAGAAGAUGUGUUGCAGCAUGCCAUAAUCCACAAGAAGCAUACUGGGAAAAGUCCCAUUGUGAACAAUAUUGGUACAAGUUGUUCUCCAUUGGAUGGGCUUACCAUGCAAUAUUCUGAACAGAAUGGAAUUGUGGAUUGGAGGAAGCAAAGCUGUACCACCAUUCAACACCCAGAGCACUGUGUGACCUCGGCUGACCAGCAUUCUGCUGAAAAACGGAGUUUAUCUUCAAU
rnacentral:lncRNA from 10 species